rnacentral:rRNA from 1 species
AUUGAACGCUGGCGGCAGGCCUAACACAUGCAAGUCGAGCGCGCGGCGCGCGUGAGUAUUUUGUCUGGGAAACUGCCUGAUGGAGGGGGAUAACUACUGGACGCGGUAGCUAAUCCCGCAUACCAUCAGAUGUGCCCAUAUGGGAGUAGCUAGGAGGGGGGGUAGUGGCUCACCUAGGCGACGAUCCCUAGCUGGUCUGAGAGGAUGACCAGCCACACUGGAACUGAGACACGGGCCAGACUCCUACGUGAGGCAGCAGUGGGGAAUAUUGCACAAUGGGCGCAAGCCUGAUGCAGCCAUGCCGCGUGUGUGAAGAAGGCCUUCGGGUUGUAAAGCACUUUCAGCGAGGAGGCGUUACCCGCAGAAGAAGAACCGGCUAACUCCGUGCCAGCAGCCGCGGUAAUAC